AUUGAACGCUGGCGGCAGGCCUAACACAUGCAAGUCGAGCGAGCGGCGGACGGGUGAGUAAUGUCUGGGAAACUGCCUGAUGGAGGGGGAUAACUACUGGAAACGGUAGCUAAUACCGCCUACCAUAAGAUGUGCCCAGAGGGGAGUAGCUAGUAGGUGGGGUAACGGCUCGCCUAGGCGACGAUCCCUAGCUGGUCUGAGAGGAUGACCAGCCACACUGGAACUGAGGGACGGUCCAGACUCCUACUGGAAGCAGCAGUGGGGAAGAUGCCACAAUGGGCGCAAGCCUGAUGCAGCCAUGCCGCGUGUGUGAAGAAGGCCUGCGGGUUGUAAAGCACUUUCAGCGUGGAGGCGUUACCCGCAGAAGAAGCACCGGCGAAAUCCGUGCCAGCAGCCGCGGGAAAC
rnacentral:rRNA from 1 species